GCUCUGGUGGUCUAGUGGUAUGAUUCUAACUCCUGAGCACGUUUGCGAGAGGUCCCGCGUUCAAUCCGCGGCUAGAGCC